rnacentral:rRNA from 1 species
GACGAACGCUGGCGGCGUGCUUAACACAUGCAAGUCGAACGGAAAGGCCCUGCUUUUGUGGGGUGCUCGAGUGGCGAACGGGUGAGUAACACGUGAGUAACCUGCCCUUGACUUUGGGAUAACUUCAGGAAACUGGGGCUAAUACCGGAUAGGAGCUCCUGCUGCAUGGUGGGGGUUGGAAAGUUUCGGCGGUUGGGGAUGGACUCGCGGCUUAUCAGCUUGUUGGUGGGGUAGUGGCUUACCAAGGCUUUGACGGGUAGCCGGCCUGAGAGGGUGACCGGCCACAUUGGGACUGAGAUACCGCCCCGACUCCUACGGGGGGCAACAGUGGGGAAUAUUGCACAAUGGGCGGAAGCCUGAUGCAGCAACGCCGCGUGCGGGAUGACGGCCUUCGGGUUGUAAACCGCUUUCGCCUGUGACGAAGCGUGAGUGACGGUAAUGGGUAAAGAAGCACCGGCUAACUACGUG